rnacentral:misc_RNA from 1 species
CAACAAAAUGAGUAAUUUUACAGUCCUUGAGGAGGUACCAUGAGGUACUAUUUUUUCUAUUGUAAAUUUAGUAUCUCUUGAUACCUAGGUACUAUCAGGUACCAAAUUUUACAUUAAAUUUUUUGGUACCCCAUGGUACCUCCUCAAGGAAUGUAAAAUUGCUCCAACAA